GGGGGUAUAGCUCAGCUGGGAGAGCAGCAGACUGAAGUGCUUGGCAAUAUUUCUGAAGGUCCCGCGUUCGAUCCGCGGUACCCCCA
rnacentral:tRNA from 1 species